AAAUCUCUUCCCCCACCCGCGCACCUCAACCGCGACCACUUCCACCACGCAUGCGCAAACCCCCACCCCACCCGACUGUUAGAGUCUUCCCAAAGUCUUCCCAAAGUCUUUCCGGAGUCUUUGCAAGGGUGGAUGGUUUGGGAAAAAAGCUGAGUCAGCUUUUUUUUCCAAACCCAAAAGGUUUGAAAGUGGGAAAGAUGAACAAUCAACAGACAAAAUUCUUUUAUCAUAUAGAAAAAUAUUUUACCUCCAAACUAAUCCUAAAGUCGAUUCAGGUUUUUCCAAACCCAAAGGGUUUGAAAGUAAGAAUGGUAGUCUGUUCCAGGACUUGCGGAUGAGGUCCUCUUUAUUAUAUUGGAAAAAUUUUUGUAAUUAUGAAUCCAGACCCCAAUCCCAGUAUUCUAAUCGUGAUCUGCUGGUAUUCUUCCAUUUCGCUUGAUGGUUUGUAGUAAUCGUGAAUUGUUGGUUCUUUAUCCAGGGUUAGUUCCUCCUGCACUUUCCGCAGGGAGUCCAGAGCACGGUUUGUCGUUUCCAUAUCCGAUUUGGCGUUGACUAGUUCCUGCCUGAGUAUUGCA